GGGCUCAUGGCCUAAUGGUAAGGCGUUAGAUUUCGGUUGAAAUCACUACUCUCUAAAGAUUGCAGGUUCGAUCCCUGCUGAGCUCG